rnacentral:ncRNA from 1 species
CAAAGGUUUGGUCCUGGCCUUAUUAUCAAUUUUCUCUUAACUUACACAUGCAAGUCUCAGCGCCCCCGUGAGGACGCCUUCGCCCAUUUACUUGGACAAGGAGCCGGUAUCAGGCACAAUUAAUUUGCCCAUAACACCUAGUCCCGCCACACCCCCAAGGGUACUCAGCAGUGAUAAAUAUUGUUUAUAAGCGUCAGCUUGACUCAGUCAUGGAGAAGAGAGCCGGCCAACAAUGGUGCCAGCCGCCGCGGCUAAACCAAUGGGCUCAAGUUGAUAAUAUUCGGCGUUAAGCGUGAUUAAGGCUGACCUAAUAAUUAGAGUAAAACCUUUGUCUUAAAGCCGUGAAAAGCAUACAACAGGGAAUCUCAAAAACGAAAGUUACUCUAAUCUUUGCUUGAACACACGACAGCUAGGAAACAAACUGGGAUUAGAUACCCCACUAUGCCUAGCCGUAAAAUAUUAACUCACACCUGUAAACGCCAGGGAAUUACGAGCCAAGCUUAAAACCCAAAGGACUUGACGGUGUCCCAACCAACUAGAGGAGCCUGUUCUGUAAUCGAUGAUCCACGUUUUACCUGACCCCCCCUUGCCCUUCAGCCUGUAUACCUCCGUCGUAAACCCGCCAUAUGAAUGUUUUCCAGCGGGUACAAUGACCCCCCCCCGUCAAUACGUCAGGUCAAGGUGCAGCCCAUGGGAGGAGGAAGUGAUGGGCUACAAUUUCUAAUCUAGAACAAACGAACUACUGCAUGAAACACAGUAUGAAGGAGGAUUUAGUAGUAAAAAGAAAAUAGCAUGUUCUUUUUAACAUGGCCCUGGGACGUGUACACACCGCCCGUCACCCUCUUCGAUAACCCUAAUUUGUUACCUAACCAGCUAAUUAUCCCAGAGAAGAGGCAAGUCGUAACAUGGUAAGUGUACCGGAAGGUGCACUUGGCAAA